GGAUAAGGCCAUACUGCGCAGAAAGCACCGCUUCCCAUCCGAACAGCGAAGUUAAGCUGCGCCAGGCGGUGUUAGUACUGGGGUGGGCGACCACCCGGGAAUCCACUGUGCCCUAUCCU
rnacentral:rRNA from 1 species